ACACGUGGGAACAUACCUUUCGGUGGGGGAUAACAUCGGGAAACUGAUGCUAAUACCGCAUACGCCCUUUGGGGGAAAGAUUUAUCGCCGAAAGAUUGGCCCGCGUCCGAUUAGCUAGUUGGUGAGGUAACGGCUCACCAAGGCUCCGAUCGGUAGCUGGUCUGAGAGGAUGAUCAGCCACACUGGGACUGAGACACGGCCCAGACUCCUACGGGAGGCAGCAGUGGGGAAUAUUGGACAAUGGGCGCAAGCCUGAUCCAGCCAUGCCGCGUGAGUGAUGAAGGCCUUAGGGUUGUAAAGCUCUUUCACCCACGACGAUGAUGACGGUAGUGGGAGAAGAAGCCCCGGCUAACUUCGUGCCA
rnacentral:rRNA from 1 species